AAAGAGAGAUGAAACAUUGUGCUGGGACACCUUUCUGAUGAAGCUCCAUGUACUCUAGUUUAACCCUUGCAAACAGAAAUGAAACAUAUUUCUUCUCUCACUAGAUAUGGUGGUGUUCAUUUGGGAGACUGCUUAUGGAACUGUGCUGGGGAUGAAGAAAAGUUCUGAUCAAUUUUUGCUGUCAGCAAUUUACCACAGAUCAGCUGCUACACACUUGAAUGAAUGUUUCUCUCUCACUCUUUGCUGACAACUCUGCAUCA
rnacentral:lncRNA from 1 species